UACGUAGGUGGCAAGCGUUGUCCGGAUUUACUGGGCGUAAAGAGCGCGCAGGCGGUCGUGCAAGUCGCGUGUGAAAGCCCCCGGCUCAACUGGGGAGGGUCACGCGAUACUGCUCGACUUGAAGGCAGGAGAGGGAAGUGGAAUUCCCGGUGUAGUGGUGAAAUGCGUAGAUAUCGGGAGGAACACCGGUGGCGAAGGCGGAUCUCUGGGCCUUACCUGACGCUGAGGCGCGAAAGCUAGGGGAGCGAACAGG
rnacentral:rRNA from 1 species